AAAUUUACUGUAACAGGGUCCAAACCCAAUUACACGAUUAGGUUGACAAACUCAACCCAUUAAGAAUUAGCCUGUGAAUGGUAACCAAAACCGCACCGCAACAGUGCUGUAACAGUAUCAAAAUCUCUAUGUAUUUUCGUUACUAUUUGAACCGCAACGCACUUCUCCCGUAACGCAAAACGCAGUCACCAUUCGGAGCCUUAAUGUUUCCGACAAAAUGGAUGACGGUGACUUAGUGGUACCAUCGGAAACUACGAUGGUUAUAUGCCAACCGCAAAAAAUCUACCUUCUUAU
rnacentral:sRNA from 1 species